AGCCCGGUGGUGUAGCGGUCAAGCAUAGCAAGGGCUCAGAAGCCUUAAAGGCCCUGAAUUCGAAUCUCCCCCGGGCUACCA
rnacentral:tRNA from 1 species